rnacentral:misc_RNA from 1 species
GUGAGGACGGGCAGCGCGGCGGCGCGGAUCGAACCGGCAAGAGGAGCGAGACGCCAAGCCGCCGGGCGCGGCACCGGCGACUGAGACAUCGACAGAGCUGCUGACUCGGCUUCUGGGGCAGCAGCUGGAGCUGGCGGCCAGGCGUGACGAGCAGCUAACGAUGCUUCUACAACACAUCCAGCAGGGCGCGGCCGCCGGCGCCCGACCAGUCGACGGCGGCGGCGCGCUUGCGGCGGCGAGCGGCGGUUGCCCGCCCGCGGCGGCGGGUGGCGGCAGCGCGCCUACGGCGUCUGGCGGCGGCGGCGCGCCUGCGGCGACUGGCGGCGGGAGCGCACCUGCGGCGGCCGCGGUUACAGAGAGUGUCGCCGCCGCGGCGGCUGUGCCGCCUACAGUCGGUUCCCGGCAACGGAUCUGCCUGCCGGCGACUGGGACGCCAGUCCCCAGGCUGCACUCAUCAGCGUCACUCAUCGAAUUCGACACAUGGAGAAGAAAAUUCGACGGAUACUGUCUGCUCACCCGUGUGCGUGAGCUAACAACAGCGGAACAGAAGGCCGCCCUCAUCGCCGUAUUAGACGACGACUGGACACGGAUCGUCGACUUCGGGCUCCAGCUACCCGCGGACGCGGAUCUGGACAGCGUCCUCGAGGCCAUGCAGAAGUACUUGCGUCGCCAACGCAACGUCAUAGUCGACCGCAUGGACUUCACAGCCAGACUACAGCAGCCCGGUGAAUCCAUCGACGAGUAUGUGUGCGCCCUGAGAGAGAUAGCAGCGUGUUGUGACUUUUGCCAACACUGUGCCGAUGAUCGAUUCCGGGAUCAUAUCGUCGUGGGCACAAUC